GUCAAGUCAGCAUGGCCUUUAUAUCCAGGGCUACACACACGCUACAAUGGUCUGUACAAUGGGUAGCCAAGCCGCGAGGCGGAGCCAAUCCUGAAAGCAGGCCUCAGUUCAGAUUGCAGUCUGCAACUCGACUGCAUGAAGCCGGAGUUGCUAGUAACCGCAGGUCAGCAAUACUGCGGUGAAUACGUUCCCGGGUCUU
rnacentral:rRNA from 1 species